CCUACGGGGGGCAGCAGUGAGGAAUAUUGGUCAAUGGACGAGAGUCUGAACCAGCCAAGUAGCGUGAAGGAUGACUGCCCUAUGGGUUGUAAACUUCUUUUAUAUGGGAAUAAAACGUUCCACGUGUGGGAUUUUGUAUGUACCAUAUGAAUAAGGAUCGGCUAACUCCGUGCCAGCAGCCGCGGUAAUACGGAGGAUCCGAGCGUUAUCCGGAUUUAUUGGGUUUAAAGGGAGCGUAGGUGGAUUGUUAAGUCAGUUGUGAAAGUUUGCGGCUCAACCGUAAAAUUGCAGUUGAAACUGGCAGUCUUGAGUACAGUAGAGGUGGGCGGAAUUCGUGGUGUAGCGGUGAAAUGCUUAGAUAUCACGAAGAACUCCGAUUGCGAAGGCAGUUCACUGGACUGCAACUGACACUGAGGCUCGAAAGUGUGGGUAUCAAACAGGAGUAGAUACCCCGGUAGUC
rnacentral:rRNA from 1 species